UAGAAUAAAGAGAUAUUAUUAGAUAUUUCAUCCUAAAUUAAAGUUGGGAUGUGGGUUUUUUUUCAGUAAGCUAAACUAUAGAAACUUAAAAAUUAAAGUGGACUUCAGAGCAUCAGAAACAUACCUUAUUUUAAAAAUUCUAACUACUUAUUUGUAAUUACUUGUUAAAUUUUAAUUAGAAAAUCAAAGUGCUUUGCAAGCACAGCUUUUAUUCUGUGAUUUUUGUACUGAAAAUAUAACCUCUGCUACUUCCUCAUUUUCUUAUCUAGUUACUCAGGUGUUGAAAACAAUAAAUCUCCUCACACACCCUUCUGAAGUUAUGAAAUAAUACCGUUAUGAAUAAUACUAAUACAGGAAAGGACCAAGAAUCUGGGAUAACUCAGAAUGCUCUUGAGAGUAAAGGUUGAAUGGAAAUUCUGACAGAAAUUAGAUUCUGAAUGCAAAUAUUUAAAGCAGUGGUUGAAUAAGAUGGAGGAGGCUGUUUACUUCCCAAGUUAAAGUUUUCAAGUGUUUCAAAUAACAGUUAAUUUUUAACACAUAGAAUCAAAGGCUAUGUUUCUUCUGCCCAGUUUAGAUGCCUGUAGUAUCUGUAUUUUCCCUGCAACAGUAGACUGAAAGUCAUUCUAAUGUCUUCAUCUCUGGUUAUUCUUAUGUACAAGACAAAAUUUCACUUGUCGUUCUUAUAUAUAAGGGUAAAUAUAAAGGCAAAUAUAGGUAAUAUUACCCAAUUCUGUCUGAUUUAAAUCUAUUCUUCUGUCUUGAAAUCUAAAUUGACCACGGUUUUAUUUCUUCCCUUUAUUAUUUACUUUCAUAUUGUAAGACCAGCAGAGCUCUUGCUAAUUGCAGGAAUUAUGCAGGAAAAUCUUCCAAGUGGAGCACAGAAAGUAUACACACAAUUUAGGCAGCCUACAAAAUUUCUUAUGCUGUGAACUUCUGAACUGUUUUAAACAAAAAGAUACUUUUUUUCUGUUGAAUAGUAAGACCACAGUUACAAAACAGUUUCUACGACUUCAGCAGUUAAGUACAUUUUCAUAGGUCCUACUCCUGUGUACUGGAACACACUGUAACAGGGACCCAGCUGCCCUCUGGCACUGACUUCAGAGUAAGGAAAAUGAGUAAACAAUAGAGUAAUAACUAGAAGAAAAUAAGUGUGCUUGAAAAGAUUUCUAGCUAAUGAAUAACAGGGCCAAAUUUCACCUGCCUUAUUAAUAUGAACAGGCAUAUCAGCCCUGGUGAAACGGUUUUGGAAGAACAAAUACUUUGGUUUUUUUUAACUUGUUAAAGGCCUGUAGAAACUAGCUGUUAGAUUUGUGAUAUUUUGUGGGGGAAAAAAGCAUGCUCAGGUGCAACUGCAGGUUUAAACAUCCUUUUGGUGGCUCCCAGACUGAGAAAAUUUGCAGGAUUAGCCUCAUCCAUACAGACCUCUCAAUUCAUCGAAUUGUUGGCAUGUGAUGUUCUUCAUGUCUUGACAGCUUCUAGCCACGAGGUUAAUACUGUAGAACAAAUGACAAAGAAUCAUCAGAAGAGUGAAUGCAACCACCACCUGUCUAAAUUCUUAUUCUUGAAAUGGAUUCAAGAAAACAAGAUAAAAACUGGAAUUACAGUAUGCAUUGAAUCCGACUGUGACUUGAGAGAAAAAUGUGAAACAUUAAAUAUUCAGAUCCAGAAUGAAAGGGAAUAAAAAUAGAAGUGUUAAAUUCUUACUUUUGGCUGUCUUCAUCUCAUACUGUUACUUUAAACUUGGUUUCCAAUCUACUGGAUUGCAACUUGUUCCUAACUACAUCUGUUAAAUUAUUAUUGAAUGAGAAAGAUCACCUAUGUAUUCCAGACAAUGAAAAGAGAUCUCCUAUUAUUUCUUCCCUUAUGAAACUUAAGUCGUUGCGCCAGUUUUCACAGCAUUUUGUAUUACUUCUAAAGCUUAAGUAACUUAUGUUACAUUCUGCAAACAUUAUGUACAAAUGUACGAUGUAUUAUGUAGAAAUAAUAAUGUGUGCAAAUGCAAAAUGAGUCUCUUCCCAUGGACUAACAAGGGCUGUGAUUUAACAAGUGGAAUAAUAAAAAAAAAAAACUUCCAUUAAAAAGAGAUACUAGAUACAGUCCAGAAUAAGUGUGUAGUUUUGGGUUUUUUUCAUUUCAGUAUUCAAUGUAGAAUAAACAACACAAAAAAUAAACUGAAAAUCAAUGAGUCCUGGAACUAUUGUUUCCACUUCCUGACCUGACUGGGAAUGAAGCACCUGGGGAAAGAAAAACACAUCUUUCUGAAGGACAUGGUUUUCUAAUAGUUUUAGCUCUGUUGACUUUUCCAUUGCUUAGUAAGUGAUGAUGAUGUGAAUGUGCAUCUCAGAAAAUGGAAAAACACUACUUAAGAUAAUUAAUACGGAGAAGAGGACACUGAGUGAGAUGGCUGUUCUUGAAAAUUGUGAGGACAACUUGAACAAGGUCCAAAAAGGAAGAAGGAUCCUACCAAGCAUGGAAAGGUCAUUCAAAAUUGUCAAGAACUACUGCAAUAAUAAGACAGAUAAAAUAGAUGAACAGUUGGGAUCAUGGAGGAUUUUAUUGCAAGAGGAAGCAGCCUGGGAUGGGAUGAACACUGGGUUGACUUCAGUCAUUCUGGACGGAGAACAUCUCCUACAUUCUAUUACUUGCAGUCUUUAUUACAGUUUAACUUUGCAUUUAUGGCUUAUAUGGUAAAGGUUAUGAAUAAAGACUUAAAGAGGAGAUGUACUGAAAAAUCAGAAAUCUAUUUCAACAGAGGAAUGAACAGAUUUCAAUUCAUCAGUUUUUUGGAUACAUGGAUGGGAAAGAAUCAAAAUAUAUGUUGUUCAGCUUUACACUUGAAGCCUGACGUUUUGCAAAAUUUUCACUAGAUGGAGCAACAGUAUCCUUCUUAAAAUGCUAGCAGUUCACCGAGCAGCUGUGCCAGGAUCUUUAAAUACGCAAGGACAUUCUGAGCUAAAUCAGUACAUAU